rnacentral:rRNA from 1 species
AUUGAACGCUGGCGGCAGGCCUAACACAUGCAAGUCGAACGAGUGGCGGACGGGUGAGUAAUGUCUGGGAAACUGCCUGAUGGAGGGGGAUAACUACUGGAACCGGUAGCUAAUACCGCAUACCAUCGGAUGUGCCCAGAUGGGAUGAGCUAGUAGGUGGGGUAAAGGCUCACCUAGGCGACGAUCCCUAGCUGGUCUGAGAGGAUGACCGGCCACACUGGAACUGAGACACGGUCCAGACUCCGACGGGAGGCAGCAGUGGGGAAUAUUGGACAAUGGGCGCAAGCCUGAAGCAGCCAUGCCGCGUGUAUGAAGAAGGCCUUCGGGUUGUAAAGUACUUUCAGCGGGGAGGCGUUACCCGAACAAGAAGCACCGGCUAACUCCGUGCCAGCAGCCGCGGUAAUUC